rnacentral:lncRNA from 1 species
GGAUAGGGGUCAGAAAAGGGACUUAUGGUGAUCAAUGCUGAAAGGUCGAUGUGUUGUACUAGUGAAUCGGGGUUUUAAUGAAGUGGAUGUGAUUAUUCUUGAUUGUUUUGUGAAAUCGAAGUUACGUCUGUGCUUGAAGAAUUAAAAGGGUGUUUAUAGGAUUGAGUAUGCGGAGUGAAUGAAAAUUUUUGGAUUAAUCUAACAAGAGAGUCAGUGGAUACAAGGUCAUGAGUAUAAAGCGGUAUCGGAGAUUAGCAGAU